GUGUCAGCAGCCGCGGUAAUACAGAGGGUGCGAGCGUUAAUCGGAAUGACUGGGCGUAAAGGGUGUGUAGGUGGUUGUUUAAGUGAGCUGUGAAAGCCCCGGGCUUAACCUGGGAACGGCAUCUCAUACUGGACAGCUAGAGUAGAUCAGAGGAGUGUGGAAUUUCCGGUGUAGCGGUGAAAUGCGUAGAGAUCGGAAAGAACACCAGUGGCGAAGGCAGCCCCCUGGGAUAACACUGACGCUCAUGCACGAAAGCGUGGGGAGCAAACAGGAUUAGAUACCCCAGUAGUCC
rnacentral:rRNA from 1 species